AUUGAACGCUGGCGGCAGGCCUAACACAUGCAAGUCGAACGGUAACAGGAAGAAGCUUGCUUCUUUGCUGACGAGUGGCGGACGGGUGAGUAAUGUCUCGGACACUUCCUGAUGGCGGGGGAUAACUACUGGAAACGGUAGCUAAUACCGCAUAACGUCGCAAGACCAAAGAGGGGGACCUUCUGGCCUCUUGCCAUCGGAUGUGCCCAGAUGGGAUUAGCUAGUAGGUGGGGUAACGGCUCACCUAGGCGACGAUGCCUAGCUGGUCUGAGAGGAUGACCAGCCACACUGGAACUGAGACACGGUCCAGACUCCUACGGGAGGCAGCAGUGGGGAAUAUUGCACAAUGGGCGCAAGCCUGAUGCAGCCAUGCCGCGUGUAUGAAGAAGGCCUUCGGGUUGUAAAGUACUGUCAGCGGGGAGGAAGGGAGUAAAGUUAAUACCUUUGCUCAUUGACGUUACCCGAAGAAGAAGCACCGGCUAACUCCGUG
rnacentral:rRNA from 1 species